AAUUAUUACUUUGGCAGAUUAGUGUAAUGAAUUUAGAAUUCAAAAAUGUAAUAUUUUACAAGUAAUA
rnacentral:tRNA from 1 species